CACUAACCGCCAAGACAAAUUCCUUGUAUGUUUGACAUAUUUUGGCUAAUAAAUGUUUCCUGAUUCCUGAUUCCCGGAAUCUCACACAUACAAUUGUGUGUGAUUCUGUGGAGGUGAUUGGAUUAAUUUCCUAUUUUAUUACAUUCUCAACUGCAAGGCCAUUGACUUGCAUUCUAUUCACAGCUCUUGCACAGUAAUACAAGGCUAUUUUCAAAUGUUAUCCUCCACUAAUGAGUUGUGUAUGACUUUAGUAUAAUCUAAUUCAUUCUGAGUCACAUAAUACAAUCAAAUGUGUGGCAGGCCAUUCACUCCCAUUAUGAUUAUAUCAAUGCACCUGUAUAAAUACUCCAUUCAUAUUUCACAGGCGAACUUUACGCUUACUAUGACGAGGUGAUCCAUCAUUUGGCUCUUCAUCAUAACACCACAAACAUCACGUUGCUUCAGAAGCCGAACGAAAGCUGGGUCUGGAUCACAGCCAAUCGCUGCAUGACAAUGCGGUAUAAAGGCGGCCUCAGAGCACCUGCCUGCCUUUCAUUUGCCAGAGGCCGGGGUUACGACACAUCCUGGCAUCUUUCACGCUGCUCCAUGUGGUGACAGGUAGGCUGUCGGCAGCAGCUGUAUUACCUCCCAGGUUGUCCAUCCAGUGCUCAUUUAAGCGCUUCUAUGUCCUAGAAGCCCACUGGUAUGGCUGCAUGCUGCUCUCCACCUGAUGCACUCAAUGUCCGCCGCUGGUAACUCUCGUGGUAGCGUUGAUCCCUGCGACCCACGCUGAUUGUCCGAAACUGCCUGACCGGUAUGUAGCGCAGUGGCUUUACCUCCCUCCUCCAGCCAUAAGGUUUUUAUGUAUUUUUUUCCUCUGCAGGGCAAAAGAUCAUUGAGCUGCAGCUCUACACCCGCUAACCUGCCAGAGACCACUGAUGCUUUGCCUUUGCCGAAGUUCACCUUGUUUGGGUCAAGACAUAUUUUAACUGUACGAGAGACGGGCCGUUAUUUGUUUAAAUUUAAUAAUUUUCGUUCUGUAUUUGUUUUCUUUUAUUUUAAACCUGUUUCUCUCAUCUCCCCUCAUUCAGGUGCUGAGUCUGCGGGUGGUCAUUGGUGUCCCGGGUGGUGGUGUCACUCUUUUGUUAUGUUUUUGCACGUUUGAGUUUGCUUCACUUUUAGUUUCACGUGUGGUGCUCCUUGGGUCCCCCUUUCUUUGGACAGUCCAUCGUAAGUCCCCGCCCUGAUUGGUUCCCCUGUUGCUCGUCCCAGAGUGACUAUUGUAGCGUUGUUUUUAAACGGCUAAUGUAAUAAAAUUACAUUUUGUACUGUAAA